UGAUUCCGUGAGUAGUGGCGAGCGAAAGCGGAAGAGGCUAAACCGUGCAUAUGUCAAGCUGUCAGGCGUUGUGUGUGCGGUGUUGUGGGACCCAGCGUCGAGGAUCUGACAGUCCUCGGAAUGACCGCGCGUGUUAGUGGAACCGCUUGGGAUGGCGGGCCGGAGUGGGUGAGAGCCCCGUACGCGAAAACACGUUGUUGGUUGUUUGUUUGGUGUUCCCGAGUAGCAGCGAGCUCGUGGAAUUUGCUGUGAAUCUGCCGGGACCACCCGGUAAGCCUAAAUACUUCCUGGAGACCGAUAGCGG
rnacentral:rRNA from 1 species